GACGAACGCUGGCGGCGUGCUUAACACAUGCAAGUCGAACGAUGAAGCUGGAGCUUGCUCCGGUGGAUUAGUGGCGAACGGGUGAGUAACACGUGAGCAAUCUGCCCUUGACUCUGGGAUAACUGCGGGAAACUGUAGCUAAUACCGGAUACGAGACCUGAAGGCAUCUUCGGGUCUGGAAAGAAUUUCGGUCAAGGAUGAGCUCGCGGCCUAUCAGCUUGUUGGUGAGGUAAUGGCUCACCAAGGCGACGACGGGUAGCCGGCCUGAGAGGGUGAGCGGCCACACCGGGACUGAGACACGGCCCAGACUCCGACGGGAGGCAGCAGUGGGGAAUAUUGCACAAUGGGCGAAAGCCUGAUGCAGCAACGCCGCGUGAGGGAUGAAGGCCUUCGGGUUGUAAACCUCUUUUCUCGAGGAAGACACCCGACGGUACUCGAGGAAUAAGCAACGGCUAACUACGUGCCAGCAGCCGCCGUAA
rnacentral:rRNA from 1 species